rnacentral:rRNA from 1 species
UACGAAGGGGGCUAGCGUUGUUCGGAAUUACUGGGCGUAAAGCGUGCGCAGGCGGCUUCUCAAGUCAGGGGUGAAAGCCCAGAGCUCAACUCUGGAAUUGCCUUUGAGACUGAGUGGCUUGAGUACGAGAGAGGUGAGUGGAAUUCCCAGUGUAGAGGUGAAAUUCGUAGAUAUGGCGGAGGAACACCGAUGGCGAAGGCGAAUCCCUGGGCCUGUACUGACGCUCAUGCACGAAAGCGUGGGGAGCAAACAGG